AUGGGGGCCUCUGCUCAGAUCCUCGGGGUCCUGCUGCUCUGGUUCCCAGGUGCCAGAUGUGACAUCCAGAUGACACAGUCUCCAUCCUCCCUGUCUGCAUCUCUAGGAGACACAGUCACCAUUACUUGCCAGGCCAGUCAGGACAUUAGCAAUUACUUAGCCUGGUAUCAGCAGAAACCAGGGAAAGCUCCUAAGCUCCUGAUCUAUUAUGCAUCUAGUUUGCAAAUUGGGAUCCCCUCAAGGUUCAGUGGCAGUGGAUCUGGGACAGAUUUCACUCUCACCAUCAGCAGCCUGGAGGCUGAUGAUGUUGGAACUUAUUACUGUCAACAGCAUGAUAGUAAACCUCUCACAGUGUUACAAGCCAUAACAUAA